rnacentral:rRNA from 1 species
UAAGGAAUAUUGGACAAUGGACGCAAGUCUGAUCCAGCCAUGCCGCGUGAAGGAUGAAUGCCCUCUGGGUUGUAAACUUCUUUUAUAGGGGAAGAAAGAUACUUUUUUUAAGGUAGUUGACGGUACCCUAUGAAUAAGCACCGGCUAACUCCGUGCCAGCAGCCGCGGUAAUACGGAGGGUGCAAGCGUUAUCCGGAUUUACUGGGUUUAAAGGGUGCGUAGGCGGGCAUGUAAGUCAGUGGUGAAAUACCGGAGCUUAACUUCGGAACUGCCAUUGAUACUAUAUGUCUUGAAUAUUGUGGAGGUGAGCGGAAUAUGACAUGUAGCGGUGAAAUGCAUAGAUAUGACAUAGAACACCGAUUGCGGAGGCAGCUUGCUACGCAAAUAUUGACGCUGAGGCACGAAAGCGUGGGGAUCAAACA